GAUGGAUGCAGUUAGACUGUGCCAGCUGGCCUAGAAUAGAAAUGUGGUGUGGUUUGGGUUGGAAGGGGCCUUAUAGACCCUCCCAGCCCAGUUCCAGCCCCCUCCCAUGGGCAGAAACAAAUUCCACUAUCCCAGGUUGCUCCAAGUCCCAUCCAACCUUAUCUUAAACACUUCCAGGGUUGGAGCAGCCACAGCUUCUCUGGGCAACAUCUGUGAGGGCCUCACCACUCUCACAGGGAAGAAUUUAUUUCUAAUAUCCAAUUCAAAUCUCCCUCUUGCAGCUUAAGGACAUUCCUUUGUCCUGUUACUCCAUGUACUUGCUAAAAGUCCCUCUCUUGCUCUUGGAGACUUUCUAGUCUGGAAUUCCUUGGAAGGCUGCUAAGGAAGCCAAGAGGCCAAGAAAUUGUAGCAGCAUGGGUCAGCAAAGAUGCAGCAUUUGUGCUUUUUAUGCCCUUUCUGCAACUCUUUCCUGUUGUUGCCUCCAGUGACAUGCAAUGAUGAUAAUGGGAUCCAGUGCCACUGGCAUGCUACCCCAAAGCCCUGCAAGGACUAGUUCAGAGUCUGCAUAAAAACAAAGUGGGCCAACGCAAACAUCAUCUGAAGACUGCCAAGAUUACAAACUACCUCAUUUUUUUUUACCAGGAAGACCAUAAAAAACCAAUAAAGCACAGUGAUAUACACUUUUUAUAAUGCAGAGCUUUGUAGCAAAUGCAGCCCAGCUGACAAAGUCUUUACAGAUGGGAGAUUAGUGAUAAGAAUGUCCAUUCCUUUUAGUAGAAAUGUUGUGUAAUAAUCAGAUUCCCUACUUUAGACAUUUACAAAGGCUGUUCAGGUAGCCUAUGAACACAGACUCAAUGAAAGAAAGGAUGUGCUCUCUCUGAAGAGCAAGCCACAGCCCCUGAGUGAGCUCUGUAUGGUUUUCUGCACUGACUCUACUGGGAUGAUAGAAACUUCAGUGAUCACAGAAUCACAGAAUGGUUUGGGUUGGAAGAGACCUUAAAGCUCAUCCAGUUCCACCCCUACCAUAGGCAGGGACACAUUCCACUAUCCCAGGUUGCUCCAAGCCCCAUCCAGCCUGGCUUGGACACUUCCAGGGAUAGUAACCCUUUUCCUUACUUGAGCCAAGAACCAGCUAGACCUGGUUGAGAGCCAGCAUGAGGGAUCAGAGCAUGCCUAAAAGGGACAUUGCUCUUGAUCUGGGAGCCUCAGCUGUGUACAGCUGGGAAGAAGUUCUUAUUUGUUCCAAAACCCUGAAUCUACACCUUUUCCCCUUUAGUCUCUGUCUCAAAUGAAAACUAGACUUCCUUUGCACAGGGAAUUGAAGGGUUUGACUCCUUCAUUUCCCUCUUUCUGAUAUUCUU